rnacentral:rRNA from 1 species
UGGGGAAUCUUGCACAAUGGGGGAAAGCCUGAUCCAGCCAUGCCGCGUGAGUGAUGAAGGCCCUAGGGUUGUAAAGCUCUUUCACCGGUGAAGAUAAUGACGGUAACCGGAGAAGAAGCCCCGGCUAACUUCGUGCCAGCAGCCGCGGUAAUACGAAGGGGGCUAGCGUUGUUCGGAAUUACUGGGCGUAAAGCGCACGUAGGCGGAUUGUUAAGUCGGGGGUGAAAUCCCGGGGCUCAACCCCGGAACUGCCUUCGAUACUGGCAAUCUAGAGUCCGGAAGAGGUCAGUGGAAUUCCCAGUGUAGAGGUGAAAUUCGUAGAUAUUCGGAGGAACACCAGUGGCGAAGGCGGCUCACUGGUCCGGUACUGACGCUGAGGUGCGAAAGCGUGGGGAGCAAACA